UGGUAACAAAUUUUCACUAGCCGUUUUCAAAAACAUUUCUUGAAAAUGGAUCAUUUUCAAAAAGAAGACCAAAAUAUUGUCUAUUAUGUUUUCAAAAGAUGUAAGCACUUUAACAUUUAAAAAUGAUGCAAAAAAGGAACAUAUUUUUGUUUUUUGAAAACAAGAAUGCUUCUAAAAUACUGUUCUAAUCGCAAGAUGCUCCUAUUUGCAAGAGCUUGGAUAGAUUCUUAUUCUUAAUUGAGUGGGACCAUUUCUCCUCUCAAAAGUCUACGAGAGGCACUUCCUAGAUGGAACUCAAAUCAUAGCCCAAUUUGUUUGGAGACUAAUUGAUGUAGGACAACCUUAGGAUGGUUGCCUACACUCAAGGGUAGGUGGGCUAGGGUUUUACUUUUAGGGUGUAAGGAGAGGAACAAAGAAUAAAUUUGAUGGUAAAGAAAAUUAUAAGAUAAGAAAUAGAGAGAAAGAAGAAACAAUGAAGAAAAGAUGGAAAACCUUGGAGUCUCACUAAGGCUUUCUAGGAGUCUCACCUAGAAGAAAAUCAAUGGAGUCUCACCAUUGAGGGUUGCAACCUUGCAAUGAAAGAAAAUAUAAUAUUAUUCAUCAAUUCAUCCCUUUGAUUUACAUUGAUUAGCCUAUUUAUAGGCUUCUCUAAGAAAUUCAAAGUCUACUAGGACUUUAAUAACUUAUUAUGAUUCUAAUUCUAAUUAUAACAUCCAAAGUCUACUAGGACUAAUAACCUAUCAUGACUCAAAUUCUAAUUAUAUUAUAACUCAACUAGCUAAUCCUAAUUAGACUCCAACAAAUACCAAUCCCAAUUCAAUUCUAAUUAAUAUUAAUCCUACUUAAAGUUUACUUAGGUCUUCACUUUCUUCCUUGAAUAAACUUUAAAAGGCUUUCCCCCAUCACUAAUCCUUUUAAAUGGGGCUUGACUUCUUUUAGGUUUGAGAAUAUGUGGUUGUUCCAUCCUGAGUUUAAGGACAAUUUUAGUGCUUGGUGGCAAGAGUGUCAAGUUGACGGUUGGUAAAGUCAUAAGUUCAUGAGAAAACUAAAGUUUCAUUAAAUCAAAGUUGAAAGACUAGAAUAGAGCGGCCUUUGGAGAUUUAAGAGAGAGGAAAAAUUUCAUUCUUUCUGACAUAGGUAGAAUUGAUAUAAUUGAACAAGAAUGGAAUUUGAAUCAUGAUCUAUUAUCUAAAAGGACUUUAAGGAGAAGGAAGUUAGAGGAAUUGAUGUUAAAGGAAGAGGUCCAUUAGAAGCAAAAAUCAAGGGUCACGUUGAUAAAAGAAGGGGAUUGCAAUUCUAAUUUCUUUCAUAGAGUGGCCAAUGGAAGGCGAAAGUGCAUUAAGUCAUUGGUUUCUGAGAAGGGGAUGACUUUGAGCAACAUUGAAAUUAUCUCAGAGAAGACAGUAAAUUUUUUUUGGGAAGCUCUACUCCAAACCCGUAAGUAUUUCUUGGAGGGUUGAGGGUUUAGAUUGGUUCCCCAUUUCUAGAGAGAGUGCAACUUGACUAGACCGGCCCUUUUCUAAAGAGGAGGUACGCCUUGCAGUUUUCCAAUUGAAUAAGGAAAAGGCCCUUGGCCCAUAUGGGUUUACUAUUGCAGCGUAUCAAGAGUGUUGGGAUGUGACAAAGAGGGCUUUAUGAGGGUGUUUCUAGAGUUCCACAAUAAUGGGAUAAUAAAUCAAAGUACUAAUGCUACUUUCAUUGCCCUAGGCCUAAGAAGAGUCAAACCUUUAAAAUAUCAGACUUCAAACUUAUUGCCUAGUUACAAGCUUAUAUAAGAUAAUUGCUAAGGUCUUAUCAGGGCAAUUACGCAAAGUCUUCCACAAAACAAUCUUUAGCUCUCAAGGGGCCUUUGUUGAAGGGAGACAAAUUUUGGAUGCUAUGUUGAUAUCCAAUGAAGUGGUGGAUGAGAAAAGGAGGUCAGGGGAGGAAGGGGUGGUCUUUAAAAUCGAUUUUAAGAAGGCCUAUGAUCAUGUGAAUUGAGGCUUUUUGCACCAUGUGCGAGAAAGGAAGAGUUUCAGCCCAAAAUGGAGAUCUUGGAUGAGGUGUUGCUUGUCUUCAACAAGUUUUGCAAUCCUUGUUAACGGAAAUGCAAAAGGUUGGAAGGUUAGGUUAAGGCCAUUAAACGUUUUAAGACAAGGAGACCUCUUUUCUCCUUUUCUUUUUACCUUAGGAGUAGAUGUUCUAAGCAAGAUGAUGAUCAGAGCGGAGGAAAGUGGGUUAAUUGAGGGCUUCAUUGUGGGUAGGGAUAGGACUAGAGUGUCUUUACUACAAUUUACAAAUGACAUCAUUUUCUUCUCUAAAGCCUCUCCAGAAUAUCUACAAAACCUCAAGCUAAUCCUAUUGGUUUUUGGGCAAGUAUCAAGUUUGAAAAUCAAUUUAGAAAAAAGCACCUUAUCAGGUAUUAAUAGAAGCCAGGAGUUGUCUAGUUUGGCUUCGAUCCUUGAUUGCAAAGUGUCAGAGUGACCUUUGUCUUAUUUGGGUCUUCCCUUAGGAGGGAGCCUAAAGACGAUAGGUUUUUGGGAUUCGGUGGUUGAGAGAAUCUCAAGGAGGUUGGAUGGGUGGAAAAAUGUCUUUUUGUCACUGAGGGAAGGAUUACCUUAAUUCAAUCAAGUUUGUCUCACAUCCCUAACUAUUUCCUCUCCUUGUUCAAGAUCCCAAUAUCAAUAACCCCAAAGAUUGAGUAAAUGCAAAGAGAUUUCCUCUUAUUAGGGGUGAGGGAAGGGAAGAAAGAUCAUCUUAUUAGGUGAGAUGUUGUUUGUUGGUCAAAAGAGUUGGGGGGUUUGGGAUUUCUUCCUUAAGAAAUCGUGCUCUUUUAGUGAAGUGACUUUGGAGGUUCCCUAGGGAAAGGAGUGAACGCAUCAGGUUAUUAUGAGUAUCAAAGGGAUGUAUCCUAAUGGAUAGGACGCCAACAUGGUGGUUAGAUGGUCACAUAGAUGUCCUUGGAAGGCUAUUGCACAAGUUUUUUAGGAUUUAUGCCCAUAUAUUCAUCUUGUGGUGGGGAAUGGGGAGAGAAUCCAUUUUGAGAAAAUCUCUGGUGGGGUGACCAACCUUUAUGCUCACAAUUCCCUAGUCUUCAUAGAGUUAUUUUUGUGAAUCUCUUGGGAUUUUAACUUUCAUCACAAUCCUUUUUUUUUUUUUUUUUUUUUGAUAAGCAAUCACAAUUCAUUAAAAGAAAAGGCUGAAAAGCCCCAACGUAUACAGGGCGUAUACAAGGCAACAAAGGCCAAACAAGCAAAAAGCCAAAAAAACAAACCACCCCUUAACUGGAGGCCAACCACUCCAGGAAAUCUAUAAGGGAAAACGGCCCCUCUACCAUAUACAAUCUUACUAAUAUAAAAAUUAAACUCCUUCAAAGACCCAUGUCCUCCCUUAGUUCAGUGCAUUAAUCUUCUUCUACAGCAGAUUCAAAAGCUUAGUCUUUGUCCUCUUUAGGCUUUUUUACUGUUAAAUCUUUUUUCUUGGCCUUGUCCAAUUUCUCGAAUCUUAUCUUGUUCCUUUUGACCAAGUUUUUGUGGAGAUCAAAAGCCUCUUCAAAGGUUAAGACCUUUGCUUGGUUAGUAGCACAUAGGAAGGUAAACACUAAUGACAUGCUAUAGUUGAGAAGACCUUAUAAAUCCCCUUGUCCUCAAUGAUGCAUUCUAUGCAAAGGAAAUAGAGAAUCAAUUGCCCACCUUUUUCUACAUUACCCAUUAACUAUUGGGCUAUGGCACAAGCUCUUCAAUCUAGCAAGGUUGGAUUGGGUUCCAUCGAGGAGUAUUGGAGACAUGAUAAUUAUUGCGUUUAGAAGUUUGGGGAAUUCAAUCAGAUGCAAGACACUUUAGUAAAUUGUUUGCCUCACUUUAUUGUGGAUUGUUUGGCAAAAGAGAGGAUUUUUUAGGAUAAGGGGAGAUCGAAAGGGAUGUUAUGGGAUUUACUUCACUUCUAUUCCUCCCUAUGGGCCCCUUGUACUGUUGCUUUUAGAAGAGUUCCUCUUGGUGUUAUAAAACUCAACUGACUUGUGGUUUGUGAUUCUAAAGUUUGAGAUAGUUGGGGGGGUGGUUAUCUUUGUAUAUAGUUUUGUAUAGAGGGGCAUCUUCUUACUUUGAUCAAAUUCUAUAUUUUGAGGUAAGGACCACUCAGCCUUCUCUUGUACCUUUACUAUUAUUAAUAUAAUAUAUUUCAUUUUUUAUUUAAAAAAAAAACAUUCUUAUUUCAGCCACCAAACAUGUCUUGAAAUUUAGGGAAGGUUAUUAAAAAGUUAGGAGAUGUUUGGUUCUUGGAAAGUACUAUGAAAAGAAAAAAAAAAUGUUAAGAAAAAUUAUUUUCUCAUGUUUGGUUUACAAUAAAAAAAUAUGAAAGAAAAUCAAAUAUAAUUAAAAUAGGUUAGAAACUUAUGCAUUUUAAAAGUAUUUAAUUUUUAUAUUGAAGAAGAAAAAUAAGUGAAUGAGUUUGAAGAAACGUGUAAAAACAAUUCAUUAAUUUUAAAUAUAUUUUUUAUUUUCCUUCACUUUUUCUUUCCUUCUAUUUUCCCUCACAAUUUUCAUUCCUCAAAGUUUCCAAGAAUCAAAUAUAGGGUUAAUGUUCUAUAAAUAUAUGCAUAAUUGUAUGAUAUAUAGUCCAUUAUUUGAUGUUGCCUUGAUAUAAGAGAGAAAGAGAAAGUGUCUUAGUUGUUUCAUCAGGAUGAAUGUUUACCUUAUCAACAAGGUCCGGCAAAUGCUCUGACAGCACAGUGAACCAAUACCUACAUUGAGAUACAUUCUAAUAUAUAAGUCAAAGAUACACUACUUGCCUCCUCAGUGAUCAUGCAUCCCAACUAUUAUAAACAUUUUUUUAUGGAAGCAUGCACUGAUAGGUAUUCCAAAUAAGCAGCAAAUUCACAGUAUGUGACUCACUCCAGUUCACUGGGGUCUGCAAGAUCAAUAGUGUUGGGCUCGUACCUGUAGAUAUGUGAGAAAUAAAAUGUCAGAAACAUAUAUCUUGAGAUUUAUCUUAUGGCUAAUGUAUGUGCAAAAGGAAUAGCAUUGCAAGGAAUUUUCAGUUUCAAACUCAGGAAUUUUGUGACAUGACUAACUAUGAUUAUUUGUAGCCAAAAUAAAAAAUAAAAAAUUGUUGAGUCCUCAAUUUUGGUAGCUGUGUUUAAAUGGGAAACAACUAGAAAAUCAUAAUCACAGUCAAAUCAGAACUAUACAUGUGUACUUGCUUAAUAAUGAAACUUACAAAGAAACAUAUAUAGAAGUAAGAGAUACUAGCAGAUAGAGUUAUCCAACACGAAAUAAAAUAAACUUCUGACAUGAUUAUGAAUUAUUGGAGAGCCUACCAUAUAGAAGAUUUUAAAAAAUGAAAGUAUAGAAGAAAUUAUUAUUCAAACAACAUGAAGAUGUUGCAGGCAGUAAGGACAAGUGACAAAAAAUGAAAUACAAUAGCCAUAAGAGAAAUCCAGAACAUUUUUUUUUUCCUUUGUUGUUUUUUUUUUUUUGAUAAGUAAACACAAUUCAUUAAAGAGGCAAAAAAACCUCAAUGUAUACAGGACGUAUACCAGGCAGCAAAGGCCAAAAACAAGCAACAAACCAAAAAAAAACAAACCACCCCUCAACUGGAAGCUAUCCAUUCCAGGAAAUCUAAAAGGGAAUGCGGCCUCUCCUCCAUAUACAACUUAGCCCAACCCCAGAUAUAACAAACAAAAGAAUAUUUGAACCUCUGAAUUGCUAAACCCCCCCCCCUAAAAGCUAACCUAUUCCUUUCCUUCCAAACCAUCCAAAAUAUGAAUAAUGGAAUGGAACUCCAAAACUUUUUCUUUUUUUUUCCCACAAAAGAACCUCCCCAACUAUAUAACACCUCCUUUACAGAUUUAGGGAACACCCACUUGACCCCAACUAAACCCAACACUAAAUCCCAAAGCUCUCUAGCCACUGUACAAUGAAUAAGUAAGUGAUCCACACUUUCCGCUUCGCAAGCACACAAAAAACACCUAUUNNNNNNNNNNNNNNNNNNNNNNNNNNNNNNNNNNNNNNNNNNNNNNNNNNNNNNNNNNNNNNNNNNNNNNNNNNNNNNNNNNNNNNNNNNNNNNNNNNNNGGUCAAAAAGCAUCUAACUGAAAAGAGAGUGCAACACAAGUCAAAGGGGAGAGAUCCAAAAAGAUUUAUAUCAUGAGUGUGCCCCAUGGACACCACCAUUCUACAUUUCUUCCUGCCACCUUAAGGGAUACUAAUUGGGAACAAUAAUUUAAAAAUUACUCAAAACUAUAAUGAAAGAACAUUUUCAGCAAAAAUUAUCACAAGAAAUUGAUUAACCAAACUAGUAAGCAACACCAGUAUGCAAUUUUUCGUACAUUUUUGGGUCUGCUAAUAAUGGAAAGACCUCCAAAGUUGGUACAAGAUGGAGCACCCCAAUAUUUAAAGCACUUGCAUCAGAACGUAGGGUGUCUCCUUUUGAUGAAGGAACUUCAAAGCCUCCAAGGCCAGUGGUUCCAGAUGGGGCCAUUGGUACAGGAGCAGUGAUCUCAGUUCCCUUCUGCACAAACUUUUCCAUCCAUGAAAUCUGCAUUUAAACCACAUAAAUUGUCUUUCGAAUUAGUUUUAGGAAUUUACUAAAAUCAAUCUAAACAUGCUUGCAAAGAUACAAACUUCUGGUGAUAGGAAAAAAAAAUACGUAGGAGCAAAAACCUGCAAUAAAUGAAGCAAAUGAAAAUGGUCAUUUCAGUCAAACAUAGAAUUCUUUUGUUAAGUAUGGCACUCUUAAGCAUAGCAAAUCUGGCAUGAAAUUUAGGAUAUUUGACUUGGAAACAUUCAGUUUGGUAUUCAUAUCUGAAAAAUGAUUUGCUUAAGAACUUCUCUCAAUCAGCAACCAUGUCUGCAAAAAAAUUACUUCUCGCUUCGAAUAAAAAUAUUUAACAUGAUGUUAUGUUUAGCAUGAAGUUCAAUUAUGAUUCCCAAAACAAAUGACAAUGCAAGAGUUCUUUACAUGUGAAGGCUAAACUCACCAAUAUGGAGAACCCAAAUGAAGGUGAGAGCUAAGAUAAAGAAAGCUCACUGCAUACCCCAGUUGAUGCAUCAAGCAACAUCACUUAUAUCAGAUAAAUAUAUGCAGCAGCAACAUGCAUCAUAAAGUUAGUCCACUAGGUUAGUUUCACCACGGGGUGGUGCAUCGAUUAGCCAGACUUCUUGUUUUAUCCUUUUGUCAAUUUUAGAAUAAGCAUCGUUCACCUUUAAUAAAUGUCCUUUUGAUCAAGCAUCAAUAGAUUCCAACCUCUUUAUCUUUACAGCUGUACUAGCUGACCUACAAUAAAUCCAACUUUGACUAGAUGCAUGGCUAUGGUCACUUUAAGAAUCUAUCCUUCUGCUAAUGGCUCAAUGCUUAUGGUAUAGAAUAAUUGGGAAAGUAUGAUUCCAAAAAAUAUUAUUAUUGAGUCAUGGGGUAUGAUACCAUUUGAGUUUUUAAAAUCCUACUCAAAUCACAAUAAUUAAAACCAGCCUGAGACAUUAUUGGUUCCCACAUGUGUCUCUAGCAAGGGUGUAUCAUAUAUAGAAAUUAGUGCUAAAAUUUUUUGACAAGUAGGACUUAAAUCUUGAGUUGCAGGAGUGUAAGAAGCAUUUGUUCCACACUGGAUUCUCCAUGUAUGGUGAGCCAAAGAGUUUCUUGGAGGGAAGAACAUGUGAGGACCUAAACUUGAGCAUCUUUUAAUCAACUGGAUGCAUAUGGAACCAAACAUGUGCUUUCACACUUGAAAGGCUGAGAAGUCUUCAGUGGACCAGGCAAUGACCCCUAUAUUCUUUUGUUCUUCUUUUCUAAAAGAUACAUUUAUCAAGAUUCAUAAUUCUUUCCUUCUAGAACACAGUUGAAGGUGAAGUAUCCUUUACUGGUAAUAAAAAUAAAACUAUACUUGGUUGACAUGCCAUAUACAAGUAUCACUAUAAAAUGUCUAACUUUAAACAGCAUCAUGAUUGACCAUUGAUACAUAAACAGUCAUUAGCUCCUUUCUAUUAGUUAUUAAAUCAGAAGAAAAUAAGAUAAUCAGUAAACAACAAAGAAACAGAUUUAUUUGCUCAAGAAUGAAAGAGUUACACACACGAUAAAUCUUGAAAAUCUAGACAAUCAUAUUCAGCAAUAUAAAAACAUCUUUGAUUAUAGAUAAAUACAUCAUAAUAAUGAAACAAUUAUUUAAAAAAGAAAAAGAAAAAAGAAAAGAAAAAAGCAUUGCUAAAACAAUGACAAUAAGACUCACUUAAUUUUGAUUAUAAAAAGGUGACUUUCUAAAAUAGCUUUCCCAAGACAUGACUUUAGGUGCCUCAAAAACUCUUAUGUGACCUCUAGAUGAUGAGAUAUAGAUGAAUGCAUAUACAAAUUUAUAAAUAGCUUUCCCAAGACAUGACUUUAGGUACCUCAAAAUUCAUGUUGCCUAUAGAUGAUGAGAUGUAGAUGAAUGCAUAAGCGCAAUAUGGGGUCCAGUGAGAGACAAAUAGAUUAAACUUUCCACAAGAUUUUGAUAAAUACGUAAAAAGAGUUACACUUUCAUUACUUAAAUCAAUGAUUCACCUCAAUUGGAGUAUCUACCAUUUACAUCCUAGCAUCCAAGUUUCUUUCAACAAGUCUAGCACGUAUUUCCUCUAACAAGCAAACAUCCCUUUAUCAAACCAAGCAAUAUGAACUCCAAAAAAAUAUCUAAGGUGAUCCAAGUCUUUAAUCUCAAACUCUCUUCAUGGGUAUUUCUUUAAUAGGAAAAUCUUAGAUCCAUCAUUAACAAUUAAUACAAUGUCAUCAAGAUAAAACAUUAGAACUAUAGUCUAACCACCUUUAUGUUUGGUAAAUAUAGUCUGCUAUGUCUUACUUUGGAUAAAUAUGAUCUUAGUAAGAAUUUAAAGAAGUCUAAGGAUGCUUAUGUAAUAGCCUUUGAAAGGGAAUUUAUGUGACCACCUAACAACACAGUUGGCAUCCAUUAGAGUUUGACCAGUAGAAACUCAAAAUGACCUUGUGCCAGAAAGCAUCAUUCUCCCUAGGGAACCUCCACAACCACUUCCCUAAAAGGGCUCUACUCCUCAAGGAUAUUCUCCCAAUGCCUUACACAUCUAGUUCCAACCCACAAGGUGAUCUUUCUUCCCUUCCCCAACCCUUGACCAUCAUAAUCAAGUUUGAUGCUUCCCAUUUCUCAUAAGCAAUGCUGUCAGAAUCAGGAUCUGUGAUUCUCCUAUUCACAUAACCAUAUUUUCCUCUUCUCUUAAGAGACAAGCAUUGUAAUUAAUUCUAAGUUAACUAAUUAGUUCUAUCAAAUUUUUCUGUAGUCAUCUAAACAUUAGGAUUGUCAAAAGUUGCCUUAAACAUAUUUUAACUCCUAACAAUUGGAUUUGUAGUCCUAUAGCUACAGUUGGAAAACAUAUUUGUCUUGAAAAACAAAAUCCUCACAGACAACUAAGGUAAAAAAACAACUCUUCUUCCACAAAAACAAGUUAAAUAGAAGCUUUCAUACGUCAGAAAAUACCAAGAAGUCAAGACCAACAACCUGCACCACUAGCAAACAGUUCAACAAUUAUUCCAAACUGCAACUAUCAUUCAGAUCCAACCAAAUGAGCCCCUUCAGGACCAACAGCAAACCAACAAAAAGAACGAACUUUGUAGCCUUUAGAGAUACGGAAGAGGGUAAAAACUUCACAACCAUGCUCAAAAGAUUCACCUUGCACUUAUUUCCCAGCAAAAAUUAACCCAACUAGGAUUGCCUACAGAUCCACCGAGCCACCAUACUGUAGUCGUAAUAAAAUCCAAGAAAAAACAGCCCUUUUUCCAAAAAAUACAAGAAAAAUGGAGAAAAGGUUAUUAAACAAUCUUGAAAUGCUACGAAAUUUCAGAUCCAAAUUCUCCCAAGAACUACUAAUGAAAUCCUAACGAUUCAGGAUUUUUGGGGUCCAUAUGGUGCUGACAUCAUCAUGUGCUACUGCUGAUGUCAACUCCUUUAUAUCUCAUGCUGGAUCCAUCUUCAAUUUGUUGUCUUGAUCCUGAUGCUCUGAUACCAAGUUGUUUGGCAUAAAAGUGAAAAAAAAUAAAAGGGAAAAAAAAAAAAGAUUAUAUUAGGCAACUUUGUAUCAGCUUAGAGUGUUUCCAAACUACUUAUGGACCUCAUUUGGGACAGCUUCUUGUUUUGGCUUUGGUUAGAAGUUGAAGUUGAAGUCAAAGUCACAAUUCUUGAAGGGUAGUAUUGGUGUUAUUAAAGUUUUAUUAAACAUGAAAAAACGUUUUGCAUAAGCCAAACUAGAGCUUCUACAAGAAACAACAUUUUCCUAACUUGCAUAUUAAGCUCUUUUUUAAGUCAUAAGCUCUUUGAACAAAAUUAUCCAAAUAGGCAUACAAACUUUUAUUGAGCUUAAAAAAAAGCUUUUGACUUCUUAGAAGUUGAUCCAAACAAGGUCAUAAUCACAUUGCUGAACAAACAAAUCCAUUACUUAUUUAGAGGUAAAACUAAAACCAAGUUUUGGACCAGAUUAGAUUUUUUUUUUCUUUUUUAAAAAAAAAAAUGAAGUUGUUAGAGACAAUAAAAAUAUACAUAAUAAUAAAAAAUCUAGAAAACUGCUCCUGAGAUGGUUUCUGGUUGAUCAAUUAGGAAGCCAAACCCUGAACCCAGUUUAUUUAUAAACAAAGUGAACUUAGAGGCAUGAAAAACUACCAUCACAGGAAAGCAUCCAAACCAAACCCAUUAAUUUCAAGUAGAUUGGCAGGUAUGGAUCAUAUUUUCCAAAUUCUGUGCGUAUACUUGCCUUUUCAUUCAAAUCCCCAAGUGGUGGACCAUGAAUCCUUCCUCCUAUGUAUGGUGCUCCCAUUGGGAACCUUUCAACUAACUGAUGGACCAUCAAGUCAUCGAGACCAUGCUUCUCAUAGCUCAUGAAUGCACCUAAAGCUCCUAAGAAUCCUUCAUGCCGCAAAAACAUUGCCUGGGCAUCCCCAUUUGACCUAAACAAAGAAUAUCAAGUUUGAACUCUUAAGUGAAAGGAAAAUAAUAAACAACAAAAUGAUGGCAAAAAACCGAUCAGGACAAAGAGAAGAAAAACAUGUAGGAACUAGACAAGCAUUCUGAGGAAUGUUUAUUCUUAAAAGCCUGAUAAAUUAAUAAUGGUCCUUGACAAUUACCAGAACUGAACAGCAAAGGAGAUCGUAUCCAUUGUAUAAGCAUGACCUCUUAUGAAAAAUCCUCCAAAAAAGAUUCUCUUAAGCCCAAACCGAAGUGCAUUCAAGUAAGAUAUCUAGACAAAAAAAAAAAGGAACAAAAAGAACCCGCCAAAUUAGAAGCAAAAAGACAUCUUCAUUGCCAAUACAUUAUAGCAAUUUUUAAUUGCUUAUCUGAGAUGAAAAUGACAGGCAACUUAACCAAAAAAUAUUGAAGAUGCUGGUCAACUACCUUGGAGGAUUUCAUGGAGAAAUUUAAUAUGGCUAAACAAUAUGAAUGGAAAACAAAAUCCAAUUAAUUUCUCAAGCAAGUCCCAAAAGUUACAGUUUACUUGUCCUCAAUUACUAUACUAAUUUAUCUAUCACUUAUUACUGUCAUUAUUUCCUAAAGUUAAAAUAAACUGAUAGGCAAAAUGUAGAACCACAUGCAUGCUAACCAAUGUUAACCAUGAAGAUGGAAAGGAUCCAGAAAGUAAAUUCAGAGUUCAAAUCUAUGGCAUUUUCAAAAAAGUCAAAUCAGAGUAACAGAGAGUGUUUUCACGAGUGGCAAGGAAAAUGUAACUUCUAUUUUUGGACCUAUUGGCACCAUCUCUUGAUCCUGAUAAGCUCUCUGAUUAAAAGAGGCUACAUGGUACAUAUACAUUUCACCGCAAGGAUGUGGACACAAAUCACAUAUCCAAACUUCAGUCCGGUAGGAUAUUCUCUCUUUUUUUUAAUAACUAUAUGAAAUAUACAUCCCUUCUGUAACUUUUCUCUGAUUUUUGUUCUUUGAUUCCAACAACAAGGGGUCAGGUGCUAUCCAUGGAAUUUUUCAGUAUAUUAAAAAGCAAAACAUAUCAAAUCAAGAUUAUUCAGAGGAUAAUUCAAACAAGAUGCACAAAACAAUUUGGGAGAAAACAAAACUUUUGACAAAACAGAAUAACACAACAGAAUUUCUCUCUGAACCUAUUGCAUGAAGAGAUCUUGUUGUUAGGCAGCUCACCUGCCCUAUAUUAUAUGAAAUCAUACGCAAGAGGGAGAGGGAGAUAUCUUCAGGCCUGUAGUCUUCUAGCUCCUUGUUUUCAGAAAUUGUCUUGCCAAAACUAGAGGCAAUGGUCGAGGCAGAGAGACCGAUCUGCAAUCACUCAAAAGAUCAGAGGUUAUCCAGUCACUAAUAGAAUUAAAGAAAUUCCACCUGAAAUCAUCCAUAAAUAGAGAUAAACACAAGCACACACAGAAAAACUCACAAUAUCACUUUAUUUUUUCAGUGGCAGAUAUUAGUGAUAUAUCCCAAUAUAAUGAUAAUAAUAAAACAAAUAAAAAUAAAAAAAAUCAUGCAAAGUCAGAUCAUGUUAAUUAAGGAAGAAGGCAUAUACUUUUGAGUAAUCCAUGCCACCAUAGAUGUCCCCAACAAGCAUGUCAAUGGUCCUAUUAUCUCCUCGUUGACUUAGUUCCAGCAAAUCAUCAAAACUGAAAAAUAAAUGAAUAUCAGACAAUUAAUAUUUCAGGUGUCAAACAGGAAAUUGAGGAACAAUAACAAAUAGGUUAAAAUAUCAAAUUGACCUUUUACACUUUGUUAAUAGCCUUCCCAAGCCCCAAUAAGUACCACCACCAACAUUUGUCCCACUAACCCGCUGAAACUUCCCAUCCCCAUCAACCUACACUAGCUCAAAAUCAAAAGCAGCAAUUACAACAAAAAGUUUUUAUGAUGCUUAAAGUGAAGUACUCGAAAUCAAAUGAAGUGGAAACUAGAAGACAUUGUACCUUAAUCAUGCUAACACCAGAGCCAAUGUUAACAAGAAGAUAAGGGAAUAGAUCAUUGUGGUCAAUCUGCACAAACUCUUUAUGACCUUCCAUGUGUGUGAAAGCUUCAUGACGGAUUGCCUACCCAAAGCAAAAUUAUAAAAAAAAUGAAAAAAUAAUAAUAAUAACCAAUAAAAAGGAAAAAUAACAAACUAAGAAUUUCUAUUGGAAGUACAGAGGUAAAAUAGAGGAAAACAACAAACAUUGCACUAUAGGAUAAAAAAAUUAAAAGUAAAAUGCAAACGCUUACUAGCAAAUCAAUUGUUAAGAAAUUUUGUUACAAAACAUACCAUUUUCAGUCAUUAUCUUAGGAAACAUAACAAGGAUACUGCACUAUCAUUAUAAAUCUUCCAUCUCUCAUUUAUUAUAAUAUUAUUUGUUUCUUACAGAAGGAAAAAAAAAAAAAAAAACAGAACUUACAUUUUAUAAGCAAAAUACAAAUUAAUCUCCAUUGUUCUUUUUCUUUCCACCAUAUUAGGCAAAAUCAUUAUAAAAAAAAAAAGAAGUUUGUGCGUACUGUCAAUUGAUACAAUUAAAAAGAAACAAGAGAACAUAGAGAGAGACAAAAAGAGAGGAAGAUGAAUUAAGAGAUGUUGGCAUCACUACACAGUGUACGCAUGAUGUUCUUAAAAAUCAUUAGAGGAUCAUGGCACUGGAAAGUGCAUGACAUUUGGUGAAGUGGAUAAAACAGGGAUUAAGGAUCUCUUGUCCUUUCUUUUACUUUCUCUCAGAUUAAUAACAUUUUUAGCUUUCUAUCACCAAAAAAGAAGAAAGUAGUGAAACAAAUGACAGAAGCCUCAGAGUAAUAAUCUGAUCCUUUAUUUCUAAAUUUAGACAACUGCAAAAAUCAACUUGACAAAUACUUGGGCUGCAAGAAUUUUCAUUAAACAAAAUCCAAUGUAGUGGUAAAAACGAACUGAGCCAAGCUGACUAUAGAUUGCUUAAGAAACGAGAUUGGGGCAAGUUUAUACAUCCUCCUCCACUUCUAAGCUACCAAGAUGGACACUAAGCAUAAGGCUAAGAUAACACAAAUGCACAUCAACUUAUCCAAGCAAACUUAUAUAGCUACAAGAAAAUUCCACUUCUUAGUUAUGAAUCUCUACUCAAAUUUCCAAACUAAAUUCUAAAAUCCAAUCAACUAUGAAUCACCAAAAACCCCAAGGGCAAGGCAAAUCAAAUGUAUUCCACUUAUCUAAAUUCUAAAUAAAAUUCCACAAUAUACUCUAAAAGUAACUGAUUUCCAUCAAGCAAAUACUUUUUUUUUUAGUUAAAACAACUGUAUAAAUGAUUAUUUAUUCAUUUCCAAUGGAGUGAAUUAACUGUUUUAUUCAUUUUCCAUGAUGUUUUCACCUUUUUUUUUCAGGAGGCAGGAGAGAAAAUGAAAAGGAAAAAAAUAAACCUACAAAAAAGCAUUGACAUUUAUAGCCUACACCCUGUGUAAGUCAUUCACUGCAGGGUCCCUCAUAUCGCUCUGAGGGCUACCUUCUAUGAAUUUUUCCUUUCAGAUGGGCAGCAACACUAAUUUUCUUUUGGUGCAUUUCGUGAGGAUUAUCUUCUGUUUCUCACAACAAAACACCAAUCUUGCCUCAGUUGAUAAGCAGCAUACAAACUUCUGCAACUAACAUAUUUCCUUCCAGUAAUGUGUCUGCAUGGACAUAUGCAUGCAUAUCUGUAUAAAAAUGAGUAUCUCAUUUGUGUUUGCAGUAUAACCACUCACAGAUCAGGUUGUUUCUCCUUGUCCUUAUUAUAAAUCAUAAUACUUUACAAAUCCAACUUUAUCAUUGUAUAAACAAAUAUAAAGAUAAUGUUUCAGCCUCUAACAAAAUGUCCUACACUUAACGAUAUUUGUCUAAGACACAAAUCAAGAGACAAAGGAAAUAAAUGAAUAGAUAACAUUAUGCAUUGAGUAGCACCUGAUAGUUCUAAAAUAAGAAACAUAUAAUUCUACUGAAGAAAAAGAAUUGAAAGCCAAAUUUAAAAUUCCCCAUGACAUCAUCUUAAUCAUUCUGCUCAGAGAAGAUCAAAUAAGAGAGAAGCAUUUAAAACUCCAUCUGCUCUUUACAAGCAGUUCACUUCAUUAAACACUAACUUGUACAAACAAAGAGGGAUUUCGUUUCAGGAUUAUACCUUAAGUAAAAAAUUUGCUCCAGCCACAAGACAAUCCAUUUCAUCUUCUUUGUCAAUACUAACCCCAAGCCUUUCUUUGAAGAGAUCUGCAAACUUGUGUGCUCCACCACCUGUGGCCUUCUCACAAACUCAAUUAGUUAAUAAAUGCACAUAUUGAGAGUGAAAUGGAAACCCAAAUAUGACAAGCAGAAACUAAACCAUCUAAAUAGUACACUAAUGAUUUUCCCAUAUACAACAUCCCACAUCUAUGCAACAUCCAGUGACCACUGGCUGUAAAAGCAGUCAUGUUUCAGAAUUAAGGAAAAAAAUUUGAGACAGGAGACAAUUUGGGGAAAGGGCAAGAAAAAUGUAACUCAAUGGAUGUGCUGGUGACUUCAAUUGGAUCUUAUAUUUAAAAGAACCAGAAGAGUUGAAUGAAUAGGAAUUUGGGCAUGAGGCAAAGUGCAAAUAUGGAACCAAUUAAUCAACUAUAUUACUAAAUUAAUAUUGGUGACUACCAUAAUUCCAAUAUACUCAUGCCUAUCCAAAAUAAAAAUGAACUGCAAUGCAUGUUUUACUUUAAGAACACCAAAUAGUAUCUGUUUCUUACUACUCAUACAAUUUGUCAGCAAAAUCUCAUAAUUCAAUCCAAAGGCCUAGCAUCCUUUGUAAGAUAAUGAACCACUUAAAACCAACUUUAAUUGAGGCAUGGGAAAAGCUUAAACAUAUUUCUAAGCACAAGGUUUACCUUAAUUAUGACAUCAUCACUGGGUGGGGCCUCAGAAAGCCAAAGGCGUGAGUCCAUCCCUAUCCGUGACACAAUGGUCAAAAUUAUCAGCAAAAUAUAACAGAAAUAAAUAAAAGCUUUUUCAAUUUUAUUUAAAAAAAAAAAAAAAAUGGGAUGAUUUGAACUAAGGCACAUCAAUCAUCCUCCAACACAAAUAUGCUAUAACAAACAGGGGCAUCUACUAUGUUUAGCACUAAGAAAAGAAAAUGAAAUUUGGAAAGAUGAAAGAUAGGACUGCUAUAAAAUAUAUACCGCCACGAUGAAGCUGCUUAGAAUUAAUGAAGUCCAAGCAUUCAUUAAUCUUGCUUGUCUCAAACUUCACAAAAUGGAGCCUUCCACCAAGAAUAGGGUAGCUUCUCCUAUUACCAUUUGUAACUCCCAAUCUCUCCUUGAUAGACCUUUUCCUCUUAUCAUCAAUUGACCGGUCUUCAUGUCUUGAAAAAUACACCAACUUAAUGAGAGAUCCUGCCAAGAAACCAUUUAAGUACUUGAGAUUUUUAGACACAUCACACCUCAAGGUGUCAACAAAACUAUCAUGUUACACAUUAUCAACAUGAAAUUAUAAAGAAAAAGAAAAAAGAAAAGAACUUAACAGUAGGUGAGAGGUUAUCUGCCAUUGUAAAAUGGCUACUACAUUUGCAACCAUUUAAACCUUCUACUGUAAAAACAUUAUAUUCAUAUGUUGAAACUAAUGCAUUUAGGUUACUAUUUAAAUACUUGCUGUCACUUGGAUCUUGAAAUUAAGGGCAAUAGAUGUUAGCUCCAUUUACAAGUAUGAGAAAAUUUCUGAGAACUUUUAAUGUUAUUUAUCCAUCAUCAUGCUGCUCUAAAAAUUAUUAUCAAAGCCAUGAAACAUAGAAAUGAAAUUUUAGGAAAAGAAAAUAAAAUUAUAUGAAAGUUUUUAAAAUUAGAAUAUGAAUAGAGGGAAGCCAACAAUGUAAAAACCUUGAGCAGCUAAUGUGCCCAUCCAUAUAAUUGCCUAAAAGUUUCCUGGGUCAUGCCACAUGUUCAAAGAAAAGAUGACCCCAAAAAAGAUCAUAAUUUCAUCAAGAUUUCUCAAAAAACGGAUUAAAAAUUGCACAUGUUCUUCACAACUCAGGCAGACAGGUAUGUUAAAAAAAAAAAUUAUCAAUUUCCAACAUGAUGAAGCAAUUAGCGCAUUGCAUUCAGUCAAAAAUCAUUUGAUCAGUUACUAAAAGUCAUAAAGCCCCUUUGUUAUGACAUCAAACCAGAUAGACUGAUGUAGGACAACCCUAGGAUGGUUGUCUACACUCAAGGGUAGGUGGGCUAGGGUUUUAUUUUUAGGGUGUAAGGAGAGGAAAAAGGAAUAAACUUUAUGGUAGAGAAAAUUAUAAGAUAAGAAAUAGAGAGAAAGAAGAAACAAUGAAGAAAAGAUGGAAAACCUUAGAGUCUCACUAAGGCCUUCUAGGAGUCUCACCUAGAAGAAAAUCAAUGGAGUCUCACCAUUGAGGGUUGCAACCUUGCAAUGAAAGAAAGUAUAAUAUUAUUCAUCAAAAUUCAUUCCUUUGAUUUACAUUGAUUAGCCUAUUUAUAGGCUUCUCUAAGAAAUCCAAAGUCUACUAGGACUCUAAUAACCUAUUCUACUAGGACUCUAAUAACCUAGUCUACUAGGACUCUAAUAACCUAUUCUACUAGGACUUUAAUAACCUAUCAUGACUCAAAUUCUAAUUAUAUUAAUCCUACUUAAAGUUUACUUAGGUCUUCCCUUUCUUCCUUGAAUAAACUUUAAAAGGCUUUUCCCCAUCAAUUCUCCCCGGCUUGAAAGAACUCGACUCCGACGAGUUAGAUGCUUGAUACAAUUCAUAGAGAUCGGGGUUAAUCUUCUGAAAAUCCGUUGUCGUAAUCCAUGUAUUCUCGGAAUGUGGUUUGCCUCGCCAUUUCACCAAAAAUUUUUGGUAUCCACCUUGUCGAGUAGACACAAGUUGAUCAUCAAGAACAUACUCGAUCUCAGGACGUGGGCUAAGAGUAGGUGGUAAUUGAAGAUCCAACUCUUCACUUACAUCGUUGUGAUGGCCAUGGUAGAUAUGUAAAUCUUCCACAUUAAAUAUUGGACUAAAAUGCAAGUUUGAAGAGAGCUCUAACAAAUAAGCAUUCUCACCCAACCGCUUUAGUACCCGAAAUGGACCCGCUUUCUUAGCUUGAAGCUUUUGAUAUGUGCUCGGAUGAAAUCUUUCUGGUCGUAAACGAACCAUCACUAGAUCACCUUCUUGAAACUGAAUAUAUCUUCGAUGUGCAUCUGCUGCCUCUUUAUAGUUCUCAUUGCUGAUUUUGAUUUUUUCUCGUACCUUUUCAUGUAUAUCUCGUAUAUGACGUGCAAAUGCAUCACCAUCUUGGCUGGUGCGGACAGAAGUAGGUAAUGGUAUAAGAUCAACAGGUUGCUUAGGUUUUAGCCCAUAUGCCACUUCAAAAGGUGAGUACCCAGUAGUACGAUUAGUGGAGCUAUUGAAAGCAAAUUCGGCUUGUGGUAAGACAUUAUCCCACUUUCUCAACUGAUCUCUCACAAUGCAUCUCAACAGAUUACCAAGACUGCGAUUGACAACUUCUGUUUGUCCAUCAGUUUGAGGAUGGAAAGAACUUGAAAAUUUUAAUUGAGUACCUAGCUUGGCCCACAAGGUUUUCCAAAAAUAGCUCAUAAACUUGACAUCGCGAUCAGAGACAAUGGAUUGUGGUAAUCCAUGCAAUCGAACUACUUCUUUAAAGAAUAAGGCAGCAACAUAAGAAGCAUCCGAAGCCUUCUUACAUGGGAUAAAAUGUGCCAUUUUGGAAAAUCUAUCAACCACAACAAAUAUAGAAUCAAAGCCCCGUUGUGUCCUUGGUAAUCCAAGUACAAAAUCCAUGCUCAAGUCUUCCCAAGGUUUGGAAGGAACUGGUAAUGGCAUAUAUAACCCCGUAUUUUGCUUUGAACCUUUUCCUACUUGACAUGCUCGACAUUGUUUGAUAACCUUCCAAACAUCCUUCUUUAAACUAGGCCAAAAGAAGCGAUCUUCCACCAAAGCAAUGGUCUUAUCUCGUCCAAAAUGUCCGCCCAUUCCGCCUCCAUGAAGUUCCCAUAUGACAUGAUCACGUAGAGAAGUCCUUAGUAAGCAUAAACGAUUUUUAUAAAACAAGUACCCUUCUAAAAUCUGGAAAUCAAUACAUGUUACUUUUGAACCACUCAAAAGAGAGGAAUAAAC
rnacentral:lncRNA from 1 species